UGUCAAGCAGCCGUGCAGAGAUGUGCCUC
rnacentral:piRNA from 1 species